rnacentral:rRNA from 1 species
GUGGGGAAUCUUCCGCAAUGGACGAAAGUCUGACGGAGCAACGCCGCGUGAACGAUGACGGCCUUCGGGUUGUAAAGUUCUGUUAUACGGGACGAAUGGUACGACGGCCAAUACCCGUCGUAAGUGACGGUACCGUAAGAGAAAGCCACGGCUAACUACGUGCCAGCAGCCGCGGUAAUACGUAGGUGGCAAGCGUUGUCCGGAAUUAUUGGGCGUAAAGGGCGCGCAGGCGGCGUCGUAAGUCGGUCUUAAAAGUGCGGGGCUUAACCCCGUGAGGGGACCGAAACUGAGAUGAUAGAGUAUCGGAGAGGAAAGCGGAAUUCCUAGUGUAGCGGUGAAAUUCGUAGAUAUUAGGAGGAACACCAGUGGCGAAAGCGGCUUUCUGGACGACAACUGACGCUGAGGCGCGAAAGCCAGGGGAGCAAACGGGAUUAGAUACCCGAGUAGUCC